rnacentral:rRNA from 1 species
AACGAACGCUGGCGGCAGGCCUAACACAUGCAAGUCGAACGCUCCAGCAAUGGAGAGUGGCAGACGGGUGAGUAACGCGUGGGAACCUUCCCAGUGGUACGGAAUAGCUCAGGGAAACUUGAGGUAAUACCGUAUACGCCCCAAGGGGGAAAGAUUUAUCGCCAUUGGAUGGGCCCGCGUCGGAUUAGCUAGUUGGUGGGGUAAUGGCCUACCAAGGCGACGAUCCGUAGCUGGUCUGAGAGGAUGAUCAGCCACACUGGGACUGAGACACGGCCCAGACUCCUACGGGAGGCAGCAGUGGGGAAUAUUGGACAAUGGGCGCAAGCCUGAUCCAGCCAUGCCGCGUGAGUGACGAAGGUCUUCGGAUUGUAAAGCUCUUUUGGCGGGGAAGAUAAUGACGGUACCCGCAGAAUAAGCUCCGGCUAACUUCGUGCCAGCAGCCGCCGUAAUAC